CGCAUGUCACGGAGUGCCAAUGGACGCCAGCACCGGGGCUGUGGUAAAUGCGAUGGAAAAGAGUGAGUACGCACACAUACACGCACACACAGCCACUCAUACAUAUAUGGACAUGGAAGUGUUGCUCUGCGCAGGUGUAUGCAGAAAUGAGUUUUUAGGUGUCUGUGUGUGUGUACUUAUGUAUUGAGCGCAGUACAUAAGCGCCACUGAAGUGGGCGGACUUUCCACCAGCGCUAGACUCCAUGGCGGAAAAUGCUCGCCGGCUAAACACAUUCGCAAACUGCUCGUCGCGGUGACAGGACGUGCGCACAGCUGCUGGGCGGCGCAGUGUGGCGUACACAGAGGACUCGCUGGCAAAUUUCCAACAAUGGACCAAAGUAUAGCGGAAAAUUAUGGUAAAAUGCAAUUAUGAAGGAUUAAAUAUUUUUUGUUUGGUGUGAACUGCUGAUGGUUGAGAAUGUUAAAACCGAAAUUUAAAAAAAAAAAUAAUCAAC